AGUGAACGCUGGCGGUAGGCCUAACACAUGCAAGUCGAACGGCAGCACAGUAAGAGCUUGCUCUUACGGGUGGCGAGUGGCGGACGGGCGAGGAAUACAUCGGAAUCUACUUUUUCGUGGGGGAUAACGUAGGGAAACUUACGCUAAUACCGCAUACGACCUACGGGUGAAAGCAGGGGAUCUUCGGACCUUGCGCGAUUGAAUGAGCCGAUGUCGGAUUAGCUAGUUGGCGGGGUAAAGGCCCACCAAGGCGACGAUCCGUAGCUGGUCUGAGGGGAUGAUCAGCCACACUGGAACUGAGACACGGUCCAGACUCCUACGGGAGGCAGCAGUGGGGAAUAUUGGACAAUGGGCGCAAGCCUGAUCCAGCCAUACCGCGUGGGUGAAGAAGGCCUUCGGGUUGUAAAGCCCUUUUGUUGGGAAAGAAAAGCAGCAGGUUAAUACCCCGCUGUUCUGACGGUACCCAAAGAAUAAGCACCGGCUAACUUCGUG
rnacentral:rRNA from 1 species